CAAUAGCGUAUAUUUAAGUUGUUGCAGUUAAAAAGCUCGUAGUUGGAUUUCGGAUGGGACUUGCCGGUCCGUCGUUUCGAUGUGCACUGGCCAGUCCUAUCUUGUUGUCGGGGACUAGCUCCUGGGCUUCACUGUCCGGGACUAGGAGCUGACGAGGUUACUUUGAGUAAAUUAGAGUGUUCAAAGCAAGCCUACGCUCUGAAUACAUUAGCAUGGAAUAACACGAUAGGACUCUGGCUUAUCUUGUUGGUCUGUGAAACCAGAGUAAUGAUUAAGAGGGACAGUCGGGGGCAUUCGUAUUUCAUUGUCAGAGGUGAAAUUCUUGGAUUUAUGAAAGACGAACUUCUGCGAAAGCAUUUGUCAAGGAUGUUUUCAUUA
rnacentral:rRNA from 1 species